UGGGGCGGAGGGUUAGUUUUAAGAGCAAGGGGCCUUUACUAAAAUGGCGAAGGCCUUCCGUCGGCGUUGUUUUAAAAUGGGAAGCCUCGACCCAGUAUUGAGACAGCUGUUCGAAGGCGGCGUUGUGUGCAAUUCGGAUUAAUGAAGGGGAAGGGUUUUGUGUGGAAAAACACCUUGGAGUGUGACAUUUCUGCGAGAAUGCUUAAAUACCGAUUUCCCGCAGGAACAAUGGCGCUGUCUUCAGUGGCACAGCGGAGCAGUUCUGUGAAGAUGCAAAGGGCUAGUGCCACGAGGUUUACUUGACUGUUGUGUGAAAAGCUGAUAAGAAAACCAUCCAGAAAACAGCUCUUCGUUUUACAAACAUGAAAAUAAAA
rnacentral:lncRNA from 1 species